rnacentral:rRNA from 1 species
GAUGAACGCUGGCGGCGUGCCUAAUACAUGCAAGUCGAGCGAACAGAUGCGGCGCUUGCUCCUCUCUCGUUAGCGGCGGACGGGUGUGUAACACGUGGAUAACCUACCUAUCAGACUGGGAUAACUUCGGGAAACCGGAGCUUAUACCGGAUAAUAUAUUGAACCGCAUGGUUCAAUAGUGAAAGUCGGUUGUGCUGUCAGUUCUAGAUGGAUCCGGGCCGCAUUAGCUAGUUGGGAGGGUCACGGCUUUCCACGGCAACGAGGCGUAGCCGACGUGAGAGGGUGAUCGGCGACACGAGAGGGUAGACGGGGACCUGACUCCUACGGGAGGCAGCAGAAGGGAAUGUGCGGCAGUAGUGGGAAGCCUGACAGAGUGACGGCACGUGAGAUAUGAAGGUGUUGGGAGCGGAAUGCUGUGUUAUGGGUGGUGAACAAAUUUGUAAUUAACUAUACACGGCGUGACGGUACUGAAUCAGGAAGCCACGGCUAACUACGUG